UACAGAGGGUGCGAGCGUUAAUCGGAAUUACUGGGCGUAAAGCGUGCGUAGACGGUUUCGUAAGUCGGGUGUGAAAGCCCCGGGCUCAACCUGGGAAUUGCAUUCGAGACUGCGUAGCUAGGGUGCGGAAGAGGGAAGCGGAAUUUCCGGUGUAGCGGUGAAAUGCGUAGAUAUCGGAAGGAACAUCAGUGGCGAAAGCGGCUUCCUGGUCCAGCACCGACGUUCAGGCACGAAAGCGUGGGGAGCAAGCAGG
rnacentral:rRNA from 1 species